GGCUGGAGGAGAAGGUAACAGAGCCAGAAGCAUGCUGGGAAACUGAGUUGAAUAGUGUUCACGGACAUGAUCGUCUAUUCUAAUAAACAUGGCAAUGAGUGAAUCCAGCGAAGCAGGGUCGCGGGGGGCGCUGGAGCCUAUCCCAGCUGUCAUAGGGCGAGAGGCAGGGUACACUCUGGACAGGUCGCCAGUCUGUCGCAGGGCCAACACACAGGGACAGAUAACCAUUCGCACUCACAUUCAUUCACGCCUAGUGACAAUUUGGAUUAUCCAAUUAACCUAUCCCCACAAGCUGCAUGUCUUUGGACGGUGGGAGGAAGCCGGAGUACUCGGAGAGAACCCACGCAAACACGGGGAGAACAUGCAAACUCCACACAGAAAGCCUGAUGUUGGAAUUGAACUCAGGACCUUCUUGCUGUGCGGCAACAGUGCUAACCACUGUGCCACCGUGCUGCCAUUAAUAUUGUUACUAUUGUUAAUAUUGGUUAAGAUUUAUAUCAAUAUUGAUUAACGUUAAGACCUUGUUUUUUGAGGCUAGCAGAUGUUAAUGUUAAUAUUAAACUAUAAGGACACGUACUACUAUCUUAUUGUUCAAUUUUUUUGUCUCUUGUUUUUGUUUGGGGUUUUUUGUUUUUUGGGGGUUUUUUGUUGUUUUUUUGUUUUGUUUUGUUUUUUUGUUUUUUUGUAGGGGUUUUGUAUUUUUUGUAUAGGUCAAUUCAAUUUCUCUGUAACAUAUUCAUUUUUACAUUAUUUGGAAAGAGUGGGGGGUAUUCAGGUACUCAUUCCAUUUAUGGUUUUUGUUGUAUGUUAUAAAAAAAAAGAAAAAGGAAAAGAUUAUUACUUCUAUAUGUACCUAUGUGUUUUAUGACAGUUUGGUAUUGAAAAAUAAAAGAAAGAAUAAGAAAUGCACCUGCCUCACAAAAGGGAUGUAAUACAGCAUUCCCAGUUCUCUCUUCCCUGUACAGUAUCUGCUCCAAUAGGUUCCUUCUUUGCCAUACUCAUGCCAUACUUCAAACUUAAAUAAUAAUUCCCACAUUUAUGGCAAUGCUUUUGCAAGAUCUUUUAUUAUUUUGCUCUAUAUUGUCUACAUUGCAUCUUAUUUUUUGUUGCUGUAAGUACAUUUUCUUGCCAUCAUCUGAGCUCAGUGAGCCCUUUAGGAGAAACACCUGUGCAGUCUCAUGCAAUCGAUGCAACAUUUUUGCCAUAAAUACUGGCACAGGUUCAGCUUUUGAUAAUACUGCUAGUAAGAUGAUCAUCUCAUGUUUGCUACUAAAGUUGUAGUUGCAGGCAGUGGUGUACAUUUAAUGGUGUACAGGAAUCUAUGUGGUGGACAAAUUUUUCAUUAUUAAUGAUUUUUUAAAUAUGUGUCAUAGCCAGUGUUGGGGAGUAACGGAAUACAUGUACCGCCGUUACGUAUUUAAAAUACAAAAUAU
ensembl:lncRNA